rnacentral:tRNA from 2 species
GGGCCCAUAGCUCAGUCGGUUAGAGCAACAGACUCAUAAUCUGUGGGUCCCUGGUUCGAGCCCAGGUGGGCCCA